UCCUUUUCCGUAGGUGAACCUGCGGAAGGAUCAUUA
rnacentral:rRNA from 1 species